rnacentral:lncRNA from 1 species
GAUCAUAUUGAAGAUUAUGGCUUAUAUUUGAUAAAUCAAUUGCUCCAUGAUUCGGGGAAGAGUUUAGUUAACUUUCUACCCAUGCCACAACCAACUGGAAAUUGGAAUGCAAUAGUUGGAAAUAGAUUACUGUCUGAGCACCAACAACUUGAGAAUGAAGCACAACAGUCUGAUGCACAAAUUAAUGUUGACAGACUUAAUGAUGAACAACUUGCUGCUUAUACUGCU